rnacentral:rRNA from 1 species
AGUAACACGUGAGUAACCUGCCUUUACACAGGGAUAGCCUCGGGAAACCGGGAUUAAAACCUGAUGAAACUAUCAAAUCACAUGAUUAAGAAAGUUAAAACUCCGGUGGUAAAAGAUGGACUCGCGUCCCAUUAGCUAGUUGGUGAAGGUAACGGCCCACCAAGGCAACGAUGGGUAGCCGGCCUGAGAGGGUGAACGGCCACAUUGGAACUGAGAAACGGUCCAAACUCCUACGGGAGGCAGCAGCG